CACGUAGGGGGGCAAGCGUUGUCCGGAUUUAUUGGGCGUAAAGAGCUCGUAGGCGGUCUGUCGCGUCGGUCGUGAAAACUUGGGGCUUAACCCUGAGCUUGCGGUCGAUACGGGCAUGACUGGAGUUCGGCAGGGGAGACUGGAAUUCCUGGUGUAGCGGUGAAAUGCGCAGAUAUCAGGAGGAACACCGGUGGCGAAGGCGGGUCUCUGGGCCGAUACUGACGCUGAGGAGCGAAAGCGUGGGGGAGCGAACAGG
rnacentral:rRNA from 1 species